UUUGCUUUAAUCUCCUCUAACGACAGAGGGACUUUUGGUGUUUUUGGAGUUAGAGAUUUAUCCUUCUUGGAAUCUGGAGUUUUUGUUUUGGAUGCUGGUGUGGACGGCUUAGAGUCUUUUCCAUUUUGCUUUGCUUUCUGCAUAUUUUUUCCUGAAGGCUCACGGACAGGUUUCUUCAUUGGUGUUUUAAUCUCUUCUUCAUCAUCACCCAAGUGACUCUUAUCAUCAUCC